UACGUAGGGUGCGAGCGUUGUCCGGAAUUACUGGGCGUAAAGCGCGCGUAGGCGGCUCGAUCAGUCGGGUGUGAAAUCCCUGGGCUCAACCUGGGAACUGCAUUCGAUACUGUCGAGCUAGAGUGUGGGAGAGGGUAGUGGAAUUCCCGGUGUAGCGGUGAAAUGCGUAGAUAUCGGGAGGAACAUCAGUGGCGAAGGCGAAUCUCUGGACAGUUACUGACACUGAGGCACGAAGGCCAGGGGAGCAAACAGG
rnacentral:rRNA from 1 species